UUAGUCCGUAACGAGCGCAACCCUUGUCCUUAGUUGCCAGCACUUCGGGUGGGAACUCUAAGGAGACUGCCGGUGAUAAACCGGAGGAAGGUGGGGAUGACGUCAAGUCAUCAUGGCCCUUAUGGGCUGGGCUACACACGUGCUACAAUGGUCGGUACAGAGGGUCGCAAAGCCGCGAGGUGGAGCCAAUCUCAGAAAACCGGUCGUAGUCCGGAUUGCAGUCUGCAACUCGACUGCAUGAAGUCG
rnacentral:rRNA from 1 species